CCCAGUGCAUGUUUCGGCUCGAGUGCUCCCAGUUUGCAAACUACCUUUUUGGUGUGUGCACGAUCAACUUCUACUAAUGACUACUUUGGUGAUUCAUUGGUAUUGCUUGUGUUAUUUCUGAACUUUGACAUUUCAUGGUGUGAGAAGUGGAAUUCAAAGAAGACCCCGAUGACUCUGAGGCCCUCGGGCGAACAGGUGCUGGUACCCACAGAGCCCAUUGAGCUCCGUGCUGUCUUGUUGCCCCUGGGAUUUGUGCAUUUUAUUUGUUGAAGCUCCUUGCCGAAUACUGGACUGGAUCCUGAAUUCUUCCAGUUUCCUCUAACAUUUGGCUGGAACUCUCCAAACUAACGUUGCCAAUUUUCUCCCACUCUUUGGACUUGGAAUCACUAUGAAACAAAAACUGUCCUUUUCCUGAAACCAUGCAAGCCAGAGCUGGAUGGCUUAAUGUAAACUUCAGGGAAAUCACUGCAACAGCUCAUGUGUGGACAAUUUUCAUGCCUGUGGCUAUGUGGCUGUUCAGAAAGUUCACCGGAGACAUUCACGCUACAAACCAGGAAAAUUCGUCAGAUUGCCACUGCCUGCCCUCACUCCAUCUGAAGAUGCUUAGAACUCAACAUCUAGAAAUCUUCUCCACUGGCAGCUGUCCAAACUCAGAAACUGAAUUUAUAAUUUUCUCAAACUAUUAACCUUCGUUUUUCUUACAUUCCCACGGAAAUGCCUCUCAUUAAAUCACCUGAUUGCUCAUAUCAUGUUGAAGCCUGAGGUCAAGCUUGCCUGACAGGACCUCCCGAAAGAAAACGUCCUCACGUUCAUCUUGUCCUGAGUAGUCACGAGGAUACGUGUCUGCUAACGUGUCGUGUUGUGCCUAGCAGUGGUGAAAAACACUGACUUUCUCUCCCAGAACUUCCAGUCCAAUGAGGUCCCCGAAACCUCUCUGCAUGGACCAUCACAGUUCCUAAAUGCUCUCUGCUACAUAUGACCCUUGGCUUCCAGGAAUGAUUGCCAGAAGAUUCCAGUUACGGUGCACAAACUGGGAGAAGUAUCACUUUAUGCCGUUAUCAUCCAUUUAGAACCAUCAAUUUGUGGACUGAACCAGUGUGUCCCGGCAGAUAUCACAGAAUCAGAGACAGUGAGAUGAAAGGACAGCACUGAGAAAGUAAAAAAGUCAGGAAGAAAGGCAACACUGCAGAAAAUUCAAGAAAAAUAGUCAGCCAGUUUUUUUAAAUGCAAAGAACAGAAGAGAGAGAGGAGGCCUGAAGAGUUGGCAUGAGGAGAAGGAAGCGUUUGCUGUUAUAUACAGCAGAAGCUGCUGUCCUACCCAGCGUGAUGAAUUCCCAGAGGCCAGAGCUGCGGGAGACAUGCAGGGCUCCUGGGAGCAGCCCGUGCAGGAGGGGAGCUAACCGUGA